rnacentral:tRNA from 4 species
GCCAAAAUAGCUCAAUAGGUAGAGCAACUGACUUGUAAUCAGUAGGUUACGGGUUCGAUUCCUGUUUUUGGCACCA